UGUUGGCGCCGUUGUAGUGAC
rnacentral:siRNA from 1 species